rnacentral:rRNA from 1 species
CUGGGUGACGAGCGGCGGACGGGUGAGUAAUGUCUGGGAAACUGCCUGAUGGAGGGGGAUAACUACUGGAAACGGUAGCUAAUACCGCAUAACGUCGCAAGACCAAAGAGGGGGACCUUCGGGCCUCUUGCCAUCAGAUGUGCCCAGAUGGGAUUAGCUAGUAGGUGGGGUAAUGGCUCACCUAGGCGACGAUCCCUAGCUGGUCUGAGAGGAUGACCAGCCACACUGGAACUGAGACACGGUCCAGACUCCUACGGGAGGCAGCAGUGGGGAAUAUUGCACAAUGGGCGCAAGCCUGAUGCAGCCAUGCCGCGUGUGUGAAGAAGGCCUUCGGGUUGUAAAGCACUUUCAGCGAGGAGGAAGGUGGUGAGCUUAAUACGCUCAUCAAUUGACGUUACUCGCAGAAGAAGCACCGGCUAACUCCGUGCCAGCAGCCGCGGUAAUACGGAGGGUGCAAGCGUUAAUCGGAAUUACUGGGCGUAAAGCGCACGCAGGCGGUUUGUUAAGUCAGAUGUGAAAUCCCCGGGCUCAACCUGGGAACUGCAUUUGAAACUGGCAAGCUAGAGUCUCGUAGAGGGGGGUAGAAUUCCAG